CUGGGUCUGCUGCACCCCUGGGGGUCCCUGGCCUGGGUCUGCUGCACCCCUGGGGGUCCCUGGCCUGGGUCUGCUGCACCCCUGGGGGUCCUGGCCCCUGGUCUGCCUCUAGGGUGCAGCCGGCACAGCUGGAAACAGGCGGUGGAGAGCCGGUGGUCGGCCGGCGGAGGUGCAGGUGCCAGGGAACGGGGCUGCGAUGCAGGCCACGGAGUCUCCAGAGUUCACGCAGGAGGGGGUGGUGGGCACAGGCUCGUUAGAGUUGGGUGGCAAUACUGAAUUUUCUGCUAUUCCCAGAACUCUGAGGAUGGGGUGAGCAUCAAAGACUUUCUCUUAUCACCUCAAUAUCAGACUUUGGAUUUCUAGGGGAACAAAAGACAACUUUUCUUGGGGAGAGAGAAGCCUGCAGUCCUUGAGGUCAUCAGUGUUGUGAGCCCAAGAGAACCCCACAUAUCCGUUCUUCCCUUCUGUCUUACUGAACUCUGAGUCUGUAGUGAGUGGCAAUGCUUUCAGGUAAAAAGAGAAAAUCACAUUUCCAAUUCCCCCUGCAGAUUCUAGGGGGUCCCAGGCCAGUGGUUUGCAGGUGGAGAUGGUUGGAUGAGAUCCCUGGGAAAGCUCCUUAGGAAGAGAUCCUAUUCAGAAAAGAUGGGUGUGAUGCCUGGUGCUGCAGCAACCAAUUUGCUACCAUGAGGCUGCCUGACCAUGGACACCACAUGCUGAGGGUAACGAAGUCAUGGAAAAGUUCCCUCACGGUCCUGGGAUCGCACUGGGUGUCCUACAGCCAGCAGUCCCCUGCCCCAGGCAGCACGACUCGACUGUUCACCCACAGCGCUCUGCAGAGAGCUCGCACUUAUCCUGCUGCUACAGUCAUUUAAUUGUUCCCUGGAGCUUUGAGAAAGAUGUUUCUGCCGGUUCUUGCUGGCUGUUCAAAGUUCGUGUGGGAGAUGGAGUUCUGAAGCAUCUCAUGCCACCGUCUUCUGCUAAAAGCUUUUGUAAAACAUAUGCAAAAAAUAAGACACUUUAACUGCAAUUGGUGAAGGCUAGAGAAGGUCAAAGGGAAACCGAGGUGGGACCAUCCUCAGUUUGGGCUCCGAAGGAUACAUUUAUAUUCCAGUCAUUUCCACUUACAUCCAAGAAUGGUCAGGCCAUCACUAGUCCUCAAGUGCAGGGGACAUUCCUCUCACUUGUUGAGUUUUCUCACCUGGCAUCUGCACUGGGCAGAGCCGGCUCACCUGUCGUCUACACUGGGCAGAGCUGGCUCAUCUGGCUUCUACACUGGGUGGAGCCGGCUCACCUGGCACCUACACUGGGUGGAGCCAGCUCACCUCACAUCUGCAGAGGGCGGAGCCAGCUCACCUGGCAUCUACUCUGGGCAGAGCCGGCUCACCUGGCGUCUACACUGGGCGGAGCCGGCAGGCACACAGUGAAGUGGCCAUGUCCUGGGGCUUGUGGUGCGGGAUGUUGUGGGCGAGGGAGGGGAAGAAAGAGCUGAAGAGGUCAGAAGCCAACGCUGCUCCAUGGGGAAUCCUUCCGCUGUCGUAAGAGCAGCACCUCAUGCAGGGAUUCUCCGGCGCCUUUCGGAAUGGCGUCCCCUCCUGCAGGAACGUGCUGUCUAAUGUGCUGGUGUCUUCUUGUUAGAUUGGAAUUGUGCAAAGUAGAAUUUAUCAAAACUCUUGCGGCUUGUAGGCCCCUAUCUGUGCCCAAAUCAAAAAGAAGUGUGAGUCUGGAAUGGUGUAUUUUAUGUAUCUCAACCCUCAGUAAUAAAAACCAGAUUUCAGUCAACGAUGCUAGAAAAGACUACGUUAUAUUUGUCUUCUUUCUACUAAAAAGAUAUUAUGAAGUGGCUAUCACAGGAAGAGGUGGCCAAAGAGUAAAAAGUAGGAAAAAUGUAUCAUAAGACAAGAAUCUGGCAGUUUAUUAAUAAAAAUAUUAUGUUGUUUUUCUGGAUUUUGUGAUAUUUGCAGUAUUCUUCAGUUUAUUAAAAUUUGUAAUUUGUCAUGA